GAUGAACGCUGGCGGCGUGCCUAAUACAUGCAAGUCGAGCGAACGGACGAGAAGCUUGCUUUUCUGAUGUUAGCGGCGGACGGGUGAGUAACACGUGGAUAACCUACCUAUAAGACUGGGAUAACUUCGGGAAACCGGAGCUAAUACCGGAUAAUAUUUUGAACCGCAUGGUUCAAAAGUGAAAGACGGUCCUGCUGUCACUUAUAGAUGGAUCCGCGCUGCAUUAGCUAGUUGGUAAGGUAACGGCCUACCAAGGCAACGAUGCAUAGCCGACCUGAGAGGGUGAUCGGCCACACUGGAACUGAGACACGGUCCAGACUCCUACGGGAGGCAGCAGUAGGGAAUCUUCCGCAAAGGGCGAAAGCCUGACGGAGCAACGCCGCGUGAGUGAUGAAGGUCUUCGGAUCGUAAAACUCUGUUAUUAGGGAAGAACAUAUGUGUAAGUAACUGUGCACAUCUUGACGGUACCUAAUCAGAAAGCCACGGCUAACUACGUG
rnacentral:rRNA from 1 species